UACGUAGGGGGCUAGCGUUGUCCGGAAUCAUUGGGCGUAAAGAGCGUGUAGGCGGCCUGAUAAGUCGGUUGUGAAAGUCAAGGGCUCAACCCUUGAAUGCCGACCGAUACUGUCAGGCUAGAGUCCGGAAGAGGCGAGUGGAAUUCCUGGUGUAGCGGUGAAAUGACGUAGAUAUCUGGAGGAACACCGGUGGCGAAGGCGGCAUCCUGGACCGAAACUGACGCGUGAUGACGCCGAAAGGCCAGGGGAGA
rnacentral:rRNA from 1 species